rnacentral:rRNA from 1 species
GACGAACGCUGGCGGCGUGCCUAAUACAUGCAAGUAGAACGCUGAAGGAGGAGCUUGCUUCUCUGGAUGAGUUGCGAACGGGUGAGUAACGCGUAGGUAACCUGCCUGUUAGCUGGGGAUAACUACUGGAAACGAUAGCUAAUACCGCAUAACAGUAGAUAUCGCAUGAUAUCUACUGGAAAGUUGCAAUUGCAUCACUACCAGAUGGACCUGCGUUGUAUUAGCUAGUUGUGGAGGUAACGGCUCACCAAGGCGACGAUAAAUAGCCGACCGGAGAGGGGGAUUGCCACACUGGGACUGAGACACGGCCCAGACUCCUACGGGAGGCAGCAGUAGGGAAUCUUCGGCAAUGGACGGAAGUCUGACCGAGCAACGCCGCGUGAGUGAGGAAGGUUUUCGGAUGGUAGAGCUCUGUUGUAAGAGAAGAACGCGUGUGCGAGUGGGAAGUUCACACUGUGACGGUAUCUUACCAGAAAGGGACGGCUAACUACGUG